rnacentral:rRNA from 1 species
AUUGAACGCUGGCGGCAGGCCUAACACAUGCAAGUCGAGCGGAUGACGGGAGCUUGCUCCUGGAUUCAGCGGCGGACGGGUGAGUAAUGCCUAGGAAUCUGCCUGGUAGUGGGGGACAACGUUUCGAAAGGAACGCUAAUACCGCAUACGUCCUACGGGAGAAAGCAGGGGACCUUCGGGCCUUGCGCUAUCAGAUGAGCCUAGGUCGGAUUGGCUAGUUGGUGAGGUAAUGGCUCACCAAGGCGACGAUCCGUAACUGGUCUGAGAGGAUGAUCAGUCACACUGGAACUGAGACACGGUCCAGACUCCUACGGGAGGCAGCAGUGGGGAAUAUUGGACAAUGGGCGAAAGCCUGAUCCAGCCAUGCCGCGUGUGUGAAGAAGGUCUUCGGAUUGUAAAGCACUUUAAGUUGGGGGGAAGGGCAGUAAGCGAAUACCUUGCUGUUUUGACGUUACCGACAGAAUAAGCACCGGCUAACUCUGUGCCAGCCGCCGCGGUAAGAC